UAAUUAUAAUUUUAUUUUUUAUUUUAUUUUUAUUUAUUUUUAUAAAAAUAAUUUUGGUUUUAGUAAUUUUUAUUGAAAUAUUUUGUUUAUAAUGAUAGUUUAUAGUACUGUGAAGGAAAUAUUUUUUUUAUAAUGAAGCAUAUUUAAUUUAUAGUACCUUUUGUAUCAGGGUUUAUUAAUUUUAUAUUAAUUAUUUAAUUUUCUCGAAAUUAAAAGAGAUAUAAUAUAAUGUUAUUUUAUGUAUAAUAAUAAUUGAUAAUUUUAUUAUAGGAGUUAUAUGCUAUUCAAUUUUAAAUAUCUGGUUUUUUAAUAAAUGAAUUUAAUUCAGACAAAUUUUUAUUAAUUUAUAAUUUUAUUUAUUUUAAUUAUUAAUUUGUUAAUAUUAUUAGGGAUAAGCUUAAUAAUAUAUCUAUAAUUUAUUAUUUUGUUAAAUUUUUGUAGGCUUGGUAAUGGUCAUCAUUGAUUUUGUUAUAAUUCAUUUUUAAUUUUUAUUAAUUUAAUUUUUAUUUAGUUUAUUAUUAAAAUUUUUUAUUUAAUUUUUAAUUAUUAGUAAUAAUGAUAAAAUUAGUAGUUUUGUUAAUUUAAAUAUAAUAAUUCGGCAAUUUAGAUCUUCGCCUGUUUAACAAAAACAUGUCCUAUAGAAUUAAUUUUAGGUCUGACCUGCCCAAUGAAUAUAAUUUUAAUGGCCGCAGUAUUUUAACUGUGCAAAGGUAGCAUAAUCACUUGUCUUUUAAUUGAAGGCUUGAAUGAAUGGUUGGACGAGGGAUUGACUUUUUUUAUUUAAAUUUAAUGAAUUUGAUUUUUUAGUUAAAAAGCUUAAAUUUUUUUGUAAGACGAGAAGACCCUAUAGAAUUUUAAUUUUACAGUUUUAUUGAUUUGAUAUGAUAAAUUAAUUUUAAAUUAAUAUGCUGAAAAAUUUUUGUUGGGGUGACAGUGAGAAUAUUAUAACUCUCAUUAAUAAUUUUCAUUUAUUUAUGUAUAUUUUGAUCCUUUAUUAUGGAUUGAAAGAUUAAAUUACCUUAGGGAUAACAGCGUAAUUCUUUCGGAGAGUUCUUAUCGAUGAAUGGAGUUUGCGACCUCGAUGUUGGAUUAAAAUAAGUAUUAGGUGCAAAAGCUUAAUUACUAAGUCUGUUCGACUUUUGAAUUUUUACAUGAUCUGAGUUCAAACCGGCGUGAGCCAGGUUGGUUUCUAUCUACAAUUUUAUUUUGAUAUUUUAGUACGAAAGGACCAAAUAUUAAUAAUAAUUAUUUAAUUUUUGAUUAUAAUUA
rnacentral:rRNA from 1 species